rnacentral:rRNA from 1 species
UUGCUCUUCAACGAGGAAUGCCUAGUAAGCGCGUGUCAUCAGCAUGCGUUGAUUACGUCCCUGCCCUUUGUACACACCGCCCGUCGCUACUACCGAUUGAAUGGCUCAGUGAGGCCUUCGGACUGGCUUAGGGAGGUUGGCAACGACCACCUUGAGCCGGAAAGUUCGUCAAACUCGGUCAUUUAGAGGAAGUAAAAGUCGUAACAAGGUUUCCGUAGGUGAACCUGCGGAAGGAUCAUUACUUUCAGUACUUUGGGGGCUGUCAGUCUAUAUCACUAUAGCAAGCCUCCGUCUGAAACCCUUGUCUUUUGCGUACCUUAUGUUUCCUCGGCGGGCUUGCCCGCCGGUUGGACAACCAUAAAACCUUUUUAAUUUUCAAUCAGCGUCUGAAAAAACAUAAUAAUUACAACUUUCAACAACGGAUCUCUUGGUUCUGGCAUCGAUGAAGAACGCAGCGAAAUGCGAUAAGUAGUGUGAAUUGCAGAAUUCAGUGAAUCAUCGAAUCUUUGAACGCACAUUGCGCCCCUUGGUAUUCCAUGGGGCAUGCCUGUUCGAGCGUCAUUUGUACCCUCAAGCUAUGCUUGGUGUUGGGUGUUUGUCCUCUCCUUUUGCGAUUGGACUCGCCUCAAAGACAUUGGCAGCCAGUGUAUUGGUCUUGAAGCGCAGCACAUUUUGCGAUUCUUGCUGAUAGUCACUAGCAUCCAGUAAGCCUCUUUAUCACUUUUGACCUCGGAUCAGGUAGGGAUACCCGCUGAACUUAAGCAUAUCAAUAAGCGGAGGA